rnacentral:rRNA from 1 species
UACAGAGGUCCCAAGCGUUGUUCGGAUUCAUUGGGCGUAAAGGGUGCGUAGGCGGCGCGGUAAGUCGGGUGUGAAAUCUCGGAGCUUAACUCCGAAACUGCAUUCGAUACUGCCGUGCUUGAGGACUUGAGAGGAGACUGGAAUUUACGGUGUAGCGGUGAAAUGCGUAGAUAUCGUAAGGAAGACCAGUGGCGAAGGCGGGCCUCUGGACAGUUUCUGACGCUGAGGCACGAAGGCCAGGGGAGCAAACGGG